rnacentral:lncRNA from 1 species
GAACCAAAAUCAAAUCACGGGCUCGGCUGAGGAGAAAAGGAAAAUAAAAGGUGUUGUACGGAAUUUCUAGAGUUGUUACUUUUGAAGACCAUACACCUAGUGCUCAAACCCUAAGACUUAUUUCAAAAGAGGUAGACUCAAAUCCUCAUUUGAUUUCAAUUCAUGUUAUGAUUGAGCAUGUACUAUUGUGAUUAAUAGCUAUUCUAUUUGUUAUAUGUGCCUAAUGGGUUUAAUUGUUACAUAAUAUUGCACCAGAUUUGUGAAAUUGGUGGCGUACUAGUGCACCAAGUAUUGGUAUGUCGUAUAAUCUUCAAUCCACUUAUUGUCCAAAAAUUUAAAUUUGCAUGAGUAGAUGCAUACAUUAUUAUAUGAUUUAAUAUAACGUGUGUAUGGGUCAGACACUCAACCCCCCAUACCUAACAAAAUUUUAGAUUAAUGCGGACGAUGGCGAAGUGUUGCCUUGAUGUAUAUACUUGAAAGUUAUUGUUUAAGUCAUGUAAUGUUUGAAUAACUAUUUAAAUUUAUGGGUAUUUCAUUUUAGCUUUGAAUGUUUAAAGGCACAUUGGUUAGGUGGAAAUCUAGUUGUUUUGAGUUUGCAAAGCUAAAGUGCUUACAAAUUCAGUGUCUACCCCUACUUUUAAAAAUUCACCUCGACCAAAAUACUUGAAAUUUUUAAUUGAUUCAAGUUGGAGAAGGUGGCUUAUAGGUUACCUAUCUCUCAAAUUUGAAAUUACGGUUUUGAGCAUCCUAAAACUCAAGUUAUUGAUGUUUGUCUGAGAGGUGUCAUAACAUACCUGAGAAGAAAUACGAUCCGAAUUUGAAAAUUAUUUUGACCUACCAAUUGAUUGAAUUUUUAUUAAAAAAAUAAAUAAAAAUUAGCAAGUAAUUCACCAAUGUGUAAUAUACUUAUAAUUAAAAUUUUGUAAAUUUUGUACUUCGUUUGGCUGCUGACCAAAUUUUUUUAAGAAAACUACACAGGCAAAAAUCUCAAUUUUACAAAAGUAGUUUUCUUCAGAUUUGCAACUGGUCCCUAAAGUUUAAAGCUUUUGUUCCAAAUUAAUUUCCCCACUUUUGCGAACAACUUAUGCAUGAUUAUGCUAGUUCAAGAUUUUGGUAGUGUCCUGGGUCGCUGAGGCUCGCGGUGCUACAUUUUAUGCUCAAAAAUAUCGAUUUAAGGUCAAAUUGCCAAUAAAUUCUUAAGAAACAGUAAAAUGUCAAUUACAGCUUUGGAACAUUAAAUAAUGGGAAAAUUGGUAAAAAAUUUAAACAAGGACUUUUAUCCAGAAGAAAAAGAUUAUACUUUGGAACAAAAUUUCAAGAUAGGAACAUAUGUAGUGGUAGCUUAUCCCGUUUCAAUUGCAUGUUAUAUUCUUGUAUUUUGAUUGAUCUAUAAGCUAUAGGUAAUGAAAUGUUAUGAUUUGGCUAUAAUAGGUUUUACGACGAUGAAAUUCUUCAGAAUCAAGGAUUUUUUGAGUAAUAUAUGUUUUAUGGUAUGAAUUAUGUUAAAUAUUUGGAUCUUAAUAGUUAAUCUUCAGGUUUGCCGCCCAGAACAUUCCCAAACAGGCACAUAUCUUCCCAGUUAAUGCAUGCCAUCAUCAAACACUUCUUUUCGAACCCAAUGCAGUGGACAAACAUCACAGUUUUCAACUGCUAUCCUGUUCCCAAUUUAAUAAAUCAGUGGGGUUCAUCUUCAAGUUGGAAAAGCAGCACUAAACUCAAACUCCUGGAGUAGAGCCGCUACAAAGGGAUGGAAUUAGAGACACUAAAGGCGACUAAGACUCCAACAAAAGUCGAGUAUUUUGGAGAGACUUUUUGAAUCCUUUAUUUUAUUCUUUGAUAACUAAAUACUUCUCAGUUAACUCAUCAAACAUAUAAUUUUUCAGGAGAGCUAUGUCAGUCGCAUUACGCAAGAACUGAAUAUUGAUUGCUUUUAUCCAUUUUCUCAGUAAUGAUGAAUUACUUUAUUAUUUUAAUUUU